CCUACGGGAGGCAGCAGUGAGGAAUAUUUGUCAAUGGACGAGAGUCUGAACCAGCCAAGUAGCGUGAAGGAUGACUGCCCUAUGGGUUGUACACUUCUUUUAUAUGGGAAUAAAAUGUUCCACGUGUGGGAUUUUGUAUGUACCAUAUGAAUAAGUAUCGGCUAACUCCGUGCCAGCAGCCGCGGUAAUACGGAGGAUACGAGCGUUAUCCGGAUUUAUUGGGUUUAAAGGGGGCGUAGGUGGAUUGUUAAGUCAGUUGUGAACGUUUGCGGCUCAACCGUAAAAUUGGAGUUGAGACUGGCAGUUUUGAGUACAGUAGAGGUGGGCGGAAUUCGUGGUGUAGCGGUGAAAUGCUUAGAUAUCGCGAAGAACGCCGAUUGCGAAGGCAGCUCACUGGACUGCAACUGACACUGAGGCUCGAAAGUGUGGGUAUCAAACAGGAUUAGAUACCCCAGUAGUC
rnacentral:rRNA from 1 species